AGUCGAGGGGCAGCAUUUUAGUUUGCUUGCAAACUAAAGAUGGCGACCGGCGCACGGGUGAGUAACACGUAUCCAACCUGCCGAUAACUCGGGGAUAGCCUUUCGAAAGAAAGAUUAAUAUCCGAUAGUAUAUUAAAACCGCAUGGUUUUACUAUUAAAGAAUUUCGGUUAUCGAUGGGGAUGCGUUCCAUUAGUUUGUUGGCGGGGUAACGGCCCACCAAGACUACGAUGGAUAGGGGUUCUGAGAGGAAGGUCCCCCACAUUGGAACUGAGACACGGUCCAAACUCNUACGGGAGGCAGCAGUGAGGAAUAUUGGUCAAUGGACGAGAGUCUGAACCAGCCAAGUAGCGGGAAGGAUGACUGCCCUAUGGGUUGUAAACUUCUUUUAUAUGGGAAUAAAGUAUUCCACGUGUGGGAUUUUGUAUGUACCAUAUGAAUAAGGAUCGGCUAACUCCGUGCCAGCAGCCGCGGUAAUACGGAGGAUCCGAGCGUUAUCCGGAUUUAUUGGGUUUAAAGGGAGCGUAGGUGGAUUGUUAAGUCAGUUGUGAAAGUUUGCGGCUCAACCGUAAAAUUGCAGUUGAAACUGGCAGUCUUGAGUACAGUAGAGGUGGGCGGAAUUCGUGGUGUAGCGGUGAAAUGCUUAGAUAUCACGAAGAACUCCGAUUGCGAAGGCAGCUCACUAGACUGCAACUGACACUGAUGCUCGAAAGUGUGGGUAUCAAACAGGAUUAGAUACCCUGGUAGUCCACACAGUAAACGAUGAAUACUCGCUGUUUGCGAUAUACAGUAAGCGGCCAAGCGAAAGCAUUAAGUAUUCCACCUGGGGAGUACGCCGGCAACGGUGAAACUCAAAGGAAUUGACGGGGGGCCCGCACAAGCGGAAGGAACAUGUUGGUUUAAUUCGAUGAUACGCGAGGAACCUUACCCGGGCUUAAAUUGCAUUUGAAUAAUCUGGAAACAGGUUACCCCCAAGGCAAAUGUGAAGGUGCUGCAUGGUUGUCGUCAGCUCGUGCCGUGAGGUGUCGGCUUAAGUGCCAUAACGAGCGCAACCCUUAUCUUUAGUUACUAACAGGUCAUGCUGAGGACUCUAGAGAGACUGCCGUCGUAAGAUGUGAGGAAGGUGGGGAUGACGUCAAAUCAGCACGGCCCUUACGUCCGGGGCUACACACGUGUUACAAUGGGGGGUACAGAAGGCAGCUACCUGGCGACAGGAUGCUAAUCCCAAAAACCUCUCUCAGUUCGGAUCGAAGUCUGCAACCCGACUUCGUGAAGCUGGAUUCGCUAGUAAUCGCGCAUCAGCCAUGGCGCGGUGAAUACGUUCCCGGGCCUUGUAAACACCGCCCGUCAAGCCAUGAAAGCCGGGGGUACCUGAAGUACGUACCGCAAGGAG
rnacentral:rRNA from 1 species